rnacentral:lncRNA from 1 species
GGGUUGAGUUAGUGGAGCCUUUGCUCUGCGAUCCUGAGAGAAGCACUUACCCCUGAGGAGCUGCUCUUCUGGGGGUCCCAUCCCCAGACCUUACCACCCCCUGGUGGUACGAUUCUACUUCCUGCCACCCAUAGGUGUGCUCCUCAUAGGACCCUUUGACAGAGCAAGUCAGCCUGAGCGCCUUUGUGUGCUCAGAACUGUGUGACUCUGGGCCAGGUCUCCUGUACACGCGGUGGACAUGUAUCCUAAACUAAAAGGCCUUGUUUUCUUGGAUGACAGAUGGAUUUUUGUCAUUGGUUUAUAUAGGGUCCAAAGACAAUGUUCAGCCUCUGUGCCCAUGGUCCUUGGAAUACAAAGAGGUCUCUGGUCCUGUUACACCAGAAAGUGGUGAGAGGGGCUGAUUGAAGCCACACUUGUUGGCAUCCUUGUUAAGCCCUUUGAAGGCAGUCUCUUUGAGAUAGAUGUCAGAGGCCAGCAUGACCUCUUGUACCUUAGCAGUCUGGUUUGGUCUGAAGUGUCUUUGACUAGAACACAGUGGAAGCCAGGCAGGGAGCAGCUAAGCCGCAGCCACUCACAUGCACACGCACACGUACACGCACACACUCUGGACGCCAAAUGACUGUGGAGAAGGACUUCAAGGAAGGGGGCUGGAUCCUCUCUAAGAGUCACCAGCAUUUUGGUUUCUCUAUAAGCAGCACUUGGAUUCCCGAUGGCAUCACCUGGUGUGGGAAGGUUGUGGUGCCCGCUGCUCCUCUGCCAUCUUUCCGCAGUCCUGGAAAUGGAAGUGCAACACGUAGAAGCACGUGGUCUGUAAAGACAAUGUGGACAGAUGGCCGUAAAGCAGAGACACUACGUUUGUACCUAUCUUGGGCAAGUCAGCUUACUGCCUUAAAGUUAUGCCAAGAAUUUCUAAUGUGAUCACAAGCCAACUUCUUGGUAAAGCUGGGUUUAUUUCAGGUCCAUGUUUUCUUACUCUAGUUAUAAAACAACUUACUGUUCCUCAGUUUGUUAGAGGUGAGGGCUUCCCCAUCCCUGUACUAUCUCCUGUUUGCAUGUGUUGCCCAGGAGUAAGGAAGUCCACUUGACAGUGUUGCCCAGGUGGAGAGUUAAAACCUAAUAUUAAUACAGUUUCCCCCCACAUACGCUAAUUUAUCUGGGAAUGUAAUACCUUAUUAAAUGAUGCCUUCUUUACUCUAAGGUAUUUUCCACUUUACAGAAAAGUGCAAACCAGUAUGUAAUAGGUUGAAACUUCACCUGCUUUUCAGGGCAAACACAACCCUUUCUUUCCACUGGCAGAAGUCAUCUUUCAGGGCCUAAUGACUUGAUAUAAAAGCUUGCUUUAUAGCAUUCGUGUCCAGUACAGAGCGAGAUUUAAAAAUUAUAUAUAUAUAAUGGAAAUAUUAACAUUUCUAGAUUAAAAGUAUGACUGAUCUUUCGUUAUCCACAGUAGCAAGGUGAAAGCACACACAAUCGAAUUCCAUAGAUAAUCAGUGUUUCAACUUCUCUGUCAAACAAUUGAUUUGCAUAUCUUUUCCCUUCCUAUUCCUCUUCCACAAACACCCCCCUUUCACGGGACUAGUUGACAGCAAAGGAAAAGAGGCUCAAAGGAGGGCCAGCAGCCGGCCACCAGGCCAGGGUCCCAGUUAGCUUAGGAGAACGAGCACAAGUGGGAACCUGAAGCAUGGUCUGCCGCUGAGUUCUCUGCUGCCUCCUGACCAGAGAAAACUCUUAGACACACACAGAAACCCCACCAUCUGAGCACAUUUCCUGGCUCCUGGCAAAGCUUGCUUUUCUGUUUCUUCUUUGGAGUUACCUGCAGUCUGAUGUCCUGGUGCGCAGCAAGGGUGCUCUGUCCUCUUGGACUGUGUUGGUUUUGUCUCCUGUAAAAGCAGUUUGGUUUUCUGUGUUCUUAGUGAUGUUUAGAGAGUGGCCCUCCCACCAACACUCUGGCAUAGCACAAAAGCCAUUUUCCCUUUUGUUCUUUCUUGUUUCCUGGUGUUGGGCUUCAGGGUGAAUGAGGGAGGGUUCAUUGUUACAGCUAGGCUUUUGAAGAGCUGGCUACCACAGGUGUAAAUUCUAUUGAUCCCCAGGUACCUUAGAACUCUGGAAGCUUUGGCAGGGCCAGAAGCAGGCACGGUGGGGUUCUGGGACCUCCAUAUGUUAUCACCUGUCUGAGUUUGUGAGAUUUGGAAGAAAAAAAUCUCUCCCCUUGUCUGGUGUCAAAAACAGACGUUCCGAGUUGUGCUUCGAUGGUAGCACCAUCUUCUUGGUGUUCUUUCCAUGUUGCUAACCUUUUUUAAAACAUUUGGGAAGUUUUUUAAAGGCCCGCUUAGCCUGCACAGAGCGAGUCAGAGGCCGAUUUCACUAAGUAGUUUAAUUGCUGUUGUGCUAGUUACACAGCAGGAAUACAAAGGAGGCAGCAGGAAGCACACUGACUGGGGUAGGGAGAGUGCAGGCUUCUCCCUGCGGAGGCUGUAGGGAUGGGCAGGAAAGGACAGCCUCCCUUUGGAGCUGCUAUGAGGCUGGGCCAGGCUCCGCUCUUCCUGCAGGUAUUCGAGGCCAUACACAGUGCUCGCCUUACUUUAAAGCUACUUGCCACAGUCCUGUUACACAGUGUGGAUGUCCUUUUGCAGUCUGGUGUGCAUGCCAUGUGAUCAGGACAGCUUUUCCACCUCCCCUGGUUUCCUAUGAGCAAGUAAAUCUACCCUGAAAUGUUCCAUCUGUACUUAUUUACCUUGUCAGUGUUCGCUAUUGGUUUUCUAAAACAAUCUGAUCAAUAAAUCUCUAAAUCUAUUCGGUCCAAGUU